UACCCUUGUAAUCCCCCGAUAUAGGCGGGGGAGAAUCCACCGGCUGGCCUUAACCAGUUGUAACCAGGGGAA
rnacentral:ncRNA from 1 species